CACUGCACUUCCUCUAAGCGAACUGGUUCUGGAGCCCUAAAAUGCUACAGUACUUCCGAUUGCUCUGCCUAUACCUGUCCCCUUGGUAGAUCAUCUUUGGGCAUACAUCCUCCCUGCUGCCGUCGCAGCGUAAUCCGCCCCGCCCCUCCCCUCUUUGUAGUUCUAAUCUCACUGUCUCUUACGUGCUUCUCAAUUCUUAUCAUGAUCAACACAGAUGGGUUCUAUCUCGUAUUGGGGUCCGUUUUCCUUCCUACAUCCAUAGACUUCCAGUGGUUGAGAUUCUAGCUCCAAUUCUGAAGGUCCAUGGAGGGUAUAGAACCUGAUAUAAAAAGCCAUCCACCAGAAUAUGAUGUGCAAAAUGAAGGUCAAACAUCUGGAGCAGCAACUGACACCGGACAGCAGAGUCAAAGCCCCAGGGCUUCUUCAAUUGCAGAUUGUGACAUGGUCUUUGAUACUGAGAAUGAGCGCGCAAGCCCAAAUAUUGGUCCUGUUGACCAAACUCAUAUGGGAAAAAUGAUGAUUGUCUGAAUUCAAGCAUUUCUUGUGAUAACAAUUUUCAGAUUGAUGCUGCAAAUGGAAAUCUGUCUCAGGAAUUCAACAUUUCUUCUGUUGAUGUGUCAAGUAACAGUAAUGUCAUAACAGCUGAGGAGGAGCUGUGCAUGAUACCAAAAAUUGGCAUGGAGUUUGAUUCAGAAGACCAUGCUUACAAGUAUUAUAGCAGGUAUGCUGUUUUUGAAAGGUUUCAGCAUAAGAAAAGAUUUUGUCAACAAAAGUAGGGUGAAUGGUGCGGUGGUAUCUAGAAGAUACACUUGCUAUAGACAGGGUUAUGGGCCUAAUAAACAUAGUGCCAAUGUAAGGAAAUCCCAUCUGGAAACAAGGACUGGAUGCCUGGCGCAUAUGACUAUUGCUCGUCAGCCUAAUGGCAAGUUUCAUGUCACUCAUUUUGAAGCAGGGCACAAUCAUGAGUUUGCAACACCCUGUACGGCUUAUAUGUUACCAUCACAGAGAAGAUUGAGUUUUGCUCA